UGUGGAAGGAAGAAUGGAAAUUACAAUAACAAAAUCCUAAUUCUAAUAGAAUACUAACAAUGCUCUAAUUAGACCAUAAUAAUGCUAAGCAAGCUUAAUCAAAUUCAAAAAAACCUCAAAGAAAUUUCAAACAAACAAUAAAAAUUCUUAAAGAAAUAUUAAAAGGAUCACAAAUAUCACUCAAAUAUAUCUCAAUUCAAUCUUAAUUUAAUUCUAGUUAAAAUCCUAUUAAAAUUCAUUAAAAAUUUAGGCCAAAAUUAAUUGAAUCUUAAAUCCUAAUAAAAUUCCAAACCCUAAAUCAAACCCUAAACAAACCUUAAACCAAACCUCAACCAAAUCCUAAACCAAAUCCUAACCAAAUCCUAAACCAAAUCCUAAACUCUACAUAAAAUCCUAACUAAAUCCUAAACCAAAUCCUAACCAAAUUCUAAAUCCUAAAUAAACCCUAACUAAACCCUAAUCCAAACCCUAAAUCCAAACCAAAUCCUAACCAAACCCUAAACCCUAAAUCAAACUCUAAUUCAAAUCCUAAAUCCUAAAUCAAACCCUAAUCCUAAACCAAAUCCUAAACCCCAAAUCAAACCCUAAUCCAAACCCUAAUCAAACCUUAAAUCAAAUCCUAAAUCAAAUC
rnacentral:lncRNA from 1 species